rnacentral:misc_RNA from 1 species
UUAAGUUCAGCGGGUAGUCCUACCUGAUUUGAGGCCCGAUCAGAAGUGUGCGCAUGCAGUCCGCAAAGACCACACACACAGUAUCGUUAGAAGCAGUUCGCAUGCGUCGUUUAGUUGUACUAGCUAGUCUGCGUGUCCCCGAGGAAACCCACACACUCACACAGACAGCGACACUCGACGACAAUUUCUUAUCAUGUCAA